rnacentral:rRNA from 1 species
AGGCCAGACUCCUACGGGAGGCAGCAGUGGGGAAUAUUGCACAAUGGGGGAAACCCUGAUGCAGCGACGCCGCGUGGGUGAAGAAGUAAUUCGUUAUGUAAAGCUCUAUCAGCAGGGAAGAAAAUGACGGUACCUGAGUAAGAAGCCCCGGCUAACUACGUGCCAGCAGCCGCGGUAAUACGUAGGGAGCAAGCGUUGUCCGGAUUUACUGGGUGUAAAGGGCGUGUAGGCGGAGACGCAAGUCAGGAGUGAAAUCCCCGGGCUCAACCCGGGAACUGCUUUUGAAACUGCGUCCCUUGAGUAUCGGAGAGGCAGGCGGAAUUCCUAGUGUAGCGGCGAAAUGCGUAGAUAUUAGGAGGAACACCAGUGGCGAAGGCGGCCUGCUGGACGACAACUGACGCUGAGGCGCGAAAGCGUGGGGAGCAAACAGGAUUAGAUACCCUUGUAUC